GAUGAACGCUGGCGGCGUGCCUAAUACAUGCAAGUCGAGCGAAUGGAUUAAGAGCUUGCUCUUAUGAAGUUAGCGGCGGACGGGUGAGUAACACGUGGGUAACCUGCCCAUAAGACUGGGAUAACUCCGGGAAACCGGCGCUAAUACCGGAUAAUAUUUUGAACCGCAUGGUUCGAAAUUGAAAGGUGGCUUCGUCUGUCACUUAUGGAUUGACCCGCGUCGCAUUAGCUAGUUGGUGAGGUAACGGCUAACCAAGGCAACGCUGCUUAGCCGACGUGAGAGUGUGAUCGGCCACACUGGGACUGAGACACGGCCCAGACUCCUACGGGAGGCAGCAGUAGGGAAUCUUCCGCAAUGGACGAAAGUCUGACGGAGCAACGCCGCGUGAGUGAUGAAGGCUUUCGGGUCGUAAAACUCUGUUGUUAGGGAAGAACAAGUGCUAGUUGAGUAAGCUGGCAACUUGACGGUACCUAACCAGAAAGCCACGGCUAACUACGUGCCAGCCGCCGCGGUAA
rnacentral:rRNA from 1 species